UACAGAGGGUGCAAGCGUUAAUCGGAAUUACUGGGCGUAAAGCGCACGUAGGCGGCUCUUUAAGUCGGGGGUGAAAUCCUGGAGCUCAACUCCAGAACUGCCUUCGAUACUGAAGAGCUCGAGUCCGGGAGAGGUGAGUGGAACUGCGAGUGUAGAGGUGAAAUUCGUAGAUAUUCGCAAGAACACCAGUGGCGAAGGCGGCUCACUGGCCCGAUACUGACGCUGAGGUGCGAAAGCGUGGGGAGCAAACAGGG
rnacentral:rRNA from 1 species